rnacentral:rRNA from 1 species
AUGCCAAGAACUUUAUGCACAAACUCCUCAACAGCUUUGGUGCUAGUAUUAAAUCAGAUUUUGUGCCUGUGGAAACCUUUUGGGCUUUUGGUCGGUUUGCUCUCUCCGAUCUUUGUGUCAGCUGCAAGGAUCGUUGGCUGCAGUGCAGGCCAUCAUGUUUGUCAUGAGAUUGUACAUACACGUGUAUGGAUGCAACGAAUGUGCUUUGGAAGAGAGAUUGAGAGGAAAAAAGGGAAGCAUUCUGGUAUGGCACGAGCAUGUACCUUGCCUUGCAAGCAAGGCAGGCUAUCGUUGCAUUAUCUUUUUCAAUUAUUUUUUUGCGAAUGGUUUUUUUUUUCAUUUUGCUAUUUCACAUUUCACAUCUAA